UUUCAUCUUCACUAACACUAUUUAUAACCAAUGAUAUUACUCAUUAGCAUUAUAUUUUGGCGUUACCCGAUAAUAUGUAAUAAUUAAUCACUUCUAUUUCAGUAGAACUCUGAACUACUAACAUUAGUAAGUACUAAAUACCAAUAAAAGAUAACCCAUUUGCAACGCUAGCGUUUUAUGAAAAAAUUUAGAUAACAUUACAUAGUCCACAAGUAGGUAGGAGUUACCUACUACUUAUCCAGAUGUAUGAUUUACACCAUUAUAAAACGCAUUCCUGCCUACUUGGAUGGCUUAUUUUUUUUUGCUCUUGAUCUUGAAUAAAAAUAUACCUUCAAGCAUACUGUAAAUAGUUAUACCUACAAGUGUCGCAUCUUGUACAUAAUAUUAUGUAGGAAUCUACUUACUAUCAUUUCGUUUUGCAAAUAAUCAACGAAUAAUAUUUCGGUAAGUAAAGUCAAUACUUCUCCCUGCAUUUAUGCGAACAUAGUAUCUACCUAUAUUGGGCAAUUAAUGUGCAUUUCAUUUCAAACCAUACCUACACCUCGAGAAAGUUCAUCAUUAAUCCAUAUUCAAUAUUGUACCUACUAUAAAACUGCACGGCUGCGUAAUAAAACGACGGAUAAUGUCCGUUUGGACGGUAAUUUAGAAGUAAUAUUAUAAUCAUAAAUUCAUAAAUAAUGUUUUAAAGGUUUAAUAAUGAUGUGUAGGCCAUAAUAGAACAAAUUAAAAAAAUCAGUUGAAGUUAUAAAAUUGAUAAUUAUUAGUUCAAUAACUG